UCCGAGUUGACCCCGGCAGUCUCCUGUGAGUCCCCAUCACCCCGAAAGGCAUGCUGGCAACACAGAACAAGGGUUGCGCUCGUUGCGGGACUUAACCCAACACCUCACGGCACGAGCUGACGACAGCCAUGCAGCAUCUGUGCACGCUCCCUCGCGGGUCCCUUCCCUUUCAGGUUGGUACCACGUGCAUGUCAAGCCGAGGUAAGGUUCUGCGCGUUGCAUCGAAUUAAACCACAUGCUCCACCGCUUGUGCGGGCCCCCGUCAAUUUCUUUGAGUUUUAACCUUGCGGCCGUACUCCCCAGGCGGGGUACUUAACGCGUUUGCUUCGGCACUGAAGGGGUCAAUACCUCCAACACCAAGUACCCAUCGUUUACGGCGUGGACUAC
rnacentral:misc_RNA from 1 species